rnacentral:rRNA from 1 species
CGGACAAGAAGGUGCCGACCCUUGCCACACAGGUCAAUGCUUUCACGAGACUACUCAAUGCUGGGGUCAUCUCAAAACAACAGCUUCAGAGCUCGGUCGCUCUCGUCUCCAUCUCCGAUCGAUAGUUAUAUUGGGAAUGUGACGACCGAGAUUGCGAAGAACGUGGGGAGGCUACAGAGGCUAGGUGUGAGAAAGGUACUAGUGAACAACAUGCAUCCCAUUGGCUGCACGCCUUUGCGGACUAGUUCGAGCAACUACACGACAUGCGACCUUCUGGCCAACUAUGCCGCAACUGUGCACAACAUCAAUAUAGAACACCUAAUGGGCAACAAGAAUAAUGCCCACAUACUGGACCUCUACACUGCCUUCACCGACAUCGUCAAUCACGCCCCUGGUGAAGGGUCGGAGCAGUCAAACAAUUUCAAGCGCAAGCUGGCACCUUGCUGCGAGGCUUCCACUGAGCUGGGGUACUGUGGACAGGUUAGCCCUUCAGGGGAGCGCCUCUACGACCUAUGCAAGAACCCUGACAAGAAUUUCUACUGGGACGAGACUUACCCGACGACCGCUGGGUGGGAAGCUGUUACAGAGGCGCUAGAAGAACCUUUGAGGGAGUUCCUAGAUCGGGACUAUGUUCCAUGA